rnacentral:miRNA from 1 species
AGUGUGUGUGUGUGUGUGUGUGUGUGUGUGUGUGUAAGAGUUUCAAUGGAAAAGAAUUAUCAUCAUAAUGGUAUGUGGUAUACACACACACACACACACACACACACCCC